UGAGAGAGAACCUUCUUCAAUCAUGGAG
rnacentral:piRNA from 1 species